rnacentral:sRNA from 1 species
GAGCCUCAGCCCUCCCUCCUCGCCUGGAAGCCUUGCCCCCGCCCCCUUGUGCUGGCUGGAGCUCAAGCCUCUUCCUUUGUCGCAGCUCCGCCCAGUUGAACACACCCGCUGGGGAAGGUGCCUCUGUUCCCUCCCCACGCACUCUGGGCCUGAGCUGACAGAGAUGGACCAUCGAAAAGCCAGGGUCCUCCCAGCUGGGCACUACUGCCCCUCGCUAGGAAUAUGGGCCUCGCAGGUCGGCAGCGUGAGGUCCUCUGUGCCACCUUCCAUCAGGAACCCAGCCAUGGUGAACGAAGCCAGAGGAAACAGCAGCCUCAACCCCUGCUUGGAGGGCAGUGCCAGCAGUGGCAGUGAGAGCUCCAAAGAUAGUUCGAGAUGUUCCACCCCGGGCCUGGACCCCGAGCGGCAUGAGAGACUCCGGGAGAAGAUGAGGCGGCGAUUGGAAUCUGGUGACAAGUGGUUCUCCCUGGAAUUCUUCCCUCCUCGAACUGCUGAGGGAGCUGUCAAUCUCAUCUCAAGGUUUGACCGGAUGGCAGCAGGCGGCCCCCUCUACAUAGACGUGACCUGGCACCCAGCAGGUGACCCUGGCUCAGACAAGGAGACCUCCUCCAUGAUGAUCGCCAGCACCGCCGUGAACUACUGUGGCCUGGAGACCAUCCUGCACAUGACCUGCUGCCGUCAGCGCCUGGAGGAGAUCACGGGCCACCUGCACAAAGCUAAGCAGCUGGGCCUGAAGAACAUCAUGGCGCUGCGGGGAGACCCAAUAGGUGACCAGUGGGAAGAGGAGGAGGGAGGCUUCAACUACGCAGUGGACCUGGUGAAGCACAUCCGAAGUGAGUUUGGUGACUACUUUGACAUCUGUGUGGCAGGUUACCCCAAAGGCCACCCCGAAGCAGGGAGCUUUGAGGCUGACCUGAAGCACUUGAAGGAGAAGGUGUCUGCGGGAGCCGAUUUCAUCAUCACGCAGCUUUUCUUUGAGGCUGACACAUUCUUCCGCUUUGUGAAGGCAUGCACCGACAUGGGCAUCACUUGCCCCAUCGUCCCCGGGAUCUUUCCCAUCCAGGGCUACCACUCCCUUCGGCAGCUUGUGAAGCUGUCCAAGCUGGAGGUGCCACAGGAGAUCAAGGACGUGAUUGAGCCAAUCAAAGACAACGAUGCUGCCAUCCGCAACUAUGGCAUCGAGCUGGCCGUGAGCCUGUGCCAGGAGCUUCUGGCCAGUGGCUUGGUGCCAGGCCUCCACUUCUACACCCUCAACCGCGAGAUGGCUACCACAGAGGUGCUGAAGCGCCUGGGGAUGUGGACUGAGGACCCCAGGUGAGGGCAGUGGCCCAAAGAUCCCCAGAGGAGGGUCCAAGAGCAGCCCCAGCUGCAGUGCUGGCUCCCCACGGUGGUACAGACGGAUGUCUGUGCCAUGGCUAGCUGGGCACAUCGAAGGCUCCAGUCUCAGAGGGCAUCAGAUGGAAGAACCCAGCCUCAGUGGUGCUCCCUUGCUUCCGGCUCCCUCUAGCCAAUCCCUUGUCUCAAUUCUCUGUCCCCAUCCUCACCCAGGCGUCCCCUACCCUGGGCUCUCAGCGCCCACCCCAAGCGCCGAGAGGAAGAUGUACGUCCCAUCUUCUGGGCCUCCAGACCAAAGAGUUACAUCUACCGUACCCAGGAGUGGGACGAGUUCCCUAACGGCCGCUGGGGCAAUUCCUCUUCCCCUGCCUUUGGGGAGCUGAAGGACUACUACCUCUUCUACCUGAAGAGCAAGUCCCCCAAGGAGGAGCUGCUGAAGAUGUGGGGGGAGGAGCUGACCAGUGAAGAAAGUGUCUUUGAAGUCUUUGUUCUUUACCUCUCGGGAGAACCAAACCGGAAUGGUCACAAAGUGACUUGCCUGCCCUGGAACGAUGAGCCCCUGGCGGCCGAGACCAGCCUGCUGAAGGAGGAGCUGCUGCGGGUGAACCGCCAGGGCAUCCUCACCAUCAACUCACAGCCCAACAUCAACGGGAAGCCGUCCUCUGACCCCAUCGUGGGCUGGGGCCCCAGCGGGGGCUAUGUCUUCCAGAAGGCCUACUUAGAGUUUUUCACUUCCCGCGAGACAGCGGAAGCGCUUCUGCAAGUGCUGAAGAAGUACGAGCUCCGGGUUAAUUACCACCUUGUCAAUGUGAAGGGUGAAAACAUCACCAAUGCCCCUGAACUGCAGCCGAAUGCUGUCACUUGGGGCAUCUUCCCUGGGCGAGAGAUCAUCCAGCCCACCGUAGUGGAUCCCGUCAGCUUCAUGUUCUGGAAGGCCCACCCAGAAUGCGAGAGAGACGGAGGCUCCAUGACCCUGCGUCCUGACGCCUUGCGUUGGAGCCACUCCUGUCCCGCCUUCCUCCUCCACAGUGCUGCUUCUCUUGGGAACCCCACUCUCCUUCGUGUCUCUCCCACCCCGGCCUCCACUCCCCCACCUGACGAUGGCAGCUAGACUGGAGUGAGGCUUCCAGGCUCUUCCUGGACCUGAGUCGGCCCCACAUGGGAACCUAGUACUCUCUGCUCUAGCCAGGAGUCUGUGCUCUUUUGGUGGGGAGCACUUCCGUCCUGCAGAGGACCACAGUGGGUGGCACCUCCUGAGAAGGCGAGGAGCGUGGUUGUUGCCAACUAAGCCCUCGAACCAAGGCAGCCUCCAGAGCCAGCCUGGGACUCCCAGUGAACUUACACUUGGAGCCCGUGCAGUACAGGCAAAACACGCAAGGGCAUCAGGCACUGGUGGCAUCGUAGAAGAGAUGUGGCAAAGUGCUGUACCCUUCCACCUCCUAGAGGUGGGCAGCUGGGCCCCACCUACUUGUGACUGAAGGGGCACACCACUGCCCUGCCUGCCCACUUAGCCGUCCACGGCACCAGCCCCCUAGAUGGGCAUUGGGCUGACACCUACCAUGCUGCUUUUUGGCACAGUUGUCUAUUCUGAGCCUUGAGAGAAAAAGUGC